AUGAACGCUGGCGGCGUGCCUAAUACAUGCAAGUCGAGCGAACGGACGAGAAGCUUGCUUCUCUGAUGUUAGCGGCGGACGGGUGAGUAACACGUGGAUAACCUACCUAUAAGACUGGGAUAACUUCGGGAAACCGGAGCUAAUACCGGAUGAUAUUUUGAACCGCAUGGUUCAAAAGUGAAAGACGGUCUUGCUGUCACUUAUAGAUGGAUCCGCGCUGCAUUAGCUAGUUGGUAAGGUAACGGCUUACCAAGGCAACGAUGCAUAGCCGACCUGAGAGGGUGAUCGGCCACACUGGAACUGAGACACGGUCCAGACUCCUACGGGAGGCAGCAGUAGGGAAUCUUCCGCAAUGGGCGAAAGCCUGACGGAGCAACGCCGCGUGAGUGAUGAAGGUCUUCGGAUCGUAAAACUCUGUUAUUAGGGAAGAACAUAUGUGUAAGUAACUGUGCACAUCUUGACGGUACCUAAUCAGAAAGCCACGGCUAACUAUGUG
rnacentral:rRNA from 1 species